rnacentral:rRNA from 1 species
GGGGGGGAGCAAGCGUUGUUCGGAAUUACUGGGCGUAAAGGGCGCGUAGGCGGCCUAGUAAGUCGAGUGUGAAAUGCCGGGGGCUCAACCCCCGUGCACUGCAUUCGAUACUGCCUGGCUAGAGAAAGGUAGAGGCGAGCGGAAUUCCCGGUGUAGCGGUGGAAUGCGUAGAUAUCGGGAAGAACACCUGUGGCGAAGGCGGCUCGCUGGGCCUUAUCUGACGCUGAAGCGCGAAAGCGUGGGGAGCAAACAGGAUUAGAUACCCUGGUAGUCCACGCCGUAAACGCUGGGUACUAGGUGUCGGGAGGCCUGGCCCUCUCGGUGUCGACGCUAACGCAUUAAGUACCCCGCCUGGGGAGUACGGUCGCAAAGGCUG